rnacentral:lncRNA from 10 species
GAGAAAUUCUUCCGCAGAACAUGUGAAAUCAUUAAGGUCCACAGGCUUGAUAACGUUGUCGUCGGAAGCAAGUCCAGGAUGUGAGAUGGGAAGGAGAGUAGAUGGACUCAUGAUGAAAGGACAGAAAUCAACUGCCAUCUUUUCCUGUUCUCCCAUUGCAGUGGCAGUGAUCACAGAGGAGAGAUGCCUAUGUUCACCUCUUCCACCUGGAUGGAUGCUGAGCUCUUAGAAAUUGACUUUCCAGGGGAUACAGAGGCUCAUGCCUAUAGUCCCAGAACUUUGGGAGGCCGAGGUGGAAGGAUGGCUAGAGGCCAGGAGUUUGAAGCUGCAGU